rnacentral:rRNA from 1 species
AGCUUGCUCCUCUGACGUUAGCGGCGGACGGGUGAGUAACACGUGGAUAACCUACCUAUAAGACUGGGAUAACUUCGGGAAACCGGAGCUAAUACCGGAUAAUAUAUUGAACCGCAUGGUUCAAUAGUGAAAGACGGUUUUGCUGUCACUUAUAGAUGGAUCCGCGCCGCAUUAGCUAGUUGGUAAGGUAACGGCUUACCAAGGCAACGAUGCGUAGCCGACCUGAGAGGGUGAUCGGCCACACUGGAACUGAGACACGGUCCAGACUCCUACGGGAGGCAGCAGUAGGGAAUCUUCCGCAAUGGGCGAAAGCUUGACGGAGCAACGCCGCGUGAGUGAUGAAGGUCUUCGGAUCGUAAAACUCUGUUAUUAGGGAAGAACAAAUGUGUAAGUAACUAUGCACGUCUUGACGGUACCUAAUCAGAAAGCCACGGCUAACUACGUGCCAGCAGCCGCGGUAAUACGUAGGUGGCAAGCGUUAUCCGGAAUUAUUGGGCGUAAAGCGCGCGUAGGCGGUUUUUUAAGUCUGAUGUGAAAGCCCACGGCUCAACCGUGGAGGGUCAUUGGAAACUGGAAAACUUGAGUGCAGAAGAGGAAAGUGGAAUUCCAUGUGUAGCGGUGAAAUGCGCAGAGAUAUGGAGGAACACCAGUGGCGAAGGCGA